rnacentral:rRNA from 1 species
UACGUAGGGUGCGAGCGUUAAUCGGAAUUACUGGGCGUAAAGCGUGCGCAGGUGGUUGUGUAAGCUUGAUGUGAAAUCCCCGGGCUUAACCUGGGAAUGGCAUUGAGGACUGCACGGCUAGAGUGUGGCAGAGGGGGGUGGAAUUCCGCGUGUAGCAGUGAAAUGCGUAGAGAUGCGGAGGAACACCGAUGGCGAAGGCAGCCCCCUGGGCUAACACUGACACUCAUGCACGAAAGCGUGGGGAGCAAACAGG